ACAUAUCAUAACGAAGAGGUAUCGUAAUUGAAGAGGUUUGGAAAGACCCACCACAGAAGGUAAUAGUCCUGUAUGUUAAACGAGAAGACUUUAGAUAUGAUCCAGAGUACCACGGGACACGUGAAACACUGUGGGAAGCAGGAGGGACCACCCUCCAAGGCUAAAUACUACCUAGUGACCGAUAGCGUAUAGUACCGUGAGGGAAAGG
rnacentral:rRNA from 1 species